CCUACGGGGGGCUGCAGUGGGGAAUAUUGGACAAUGGGGGGAACCCUGAUCCAGCCAUGCCGCGUGUGUGAAGAAGGCCCUCGGGUUGUAAAGCACUUUCAGUGAGGAAGAACGCCUGGUGGUUAAUACCCAUCAGGAAAGACAUCACUCACAGAAGAAGCACCGGCUAACUCCGUGCCAGCAGCCGCGGUAAUACGGAGGGUGCGAGCGUUAAUCGGAAUUACUGGGCGUAAAGCGCGCGUAGGUGGCUUGAUAAGCCGGUUGUGAAAGCCCCGGGCUCAACCUGGGAACGGCAUCCGGAACUGUCAAGCUAGAGUGCAGGAGAGGAAGGUAGAGUUCCCGGUGUAGCGGUGAAAUGCGUAGAGAUCGGGAGGAAUACCAGUGGCGAAGGCGGCCUUCUGGACUGACACUGACACUGAGGUGCGAAAGCGUGGGUAGCAAACAGGAUUAGAUACCCGAGUAGUC
rnacentral:rRNA from 1 species